CCCACACUCAUGUACAUUGGACCCCAAAUGAUCACCAUUAAAUUUGGUACAGUUCUCUAGAAAAGUUAUCACAUAGGUGUGAGACUUGACUUUUCUGGAGAUCUGUGCCAAAUUUAAUGGUGAUCCUUUGGGAUCCUACACACAUAGAUGUGGA
rnacentral:pre_miRNA from 1 species